rnacentral:rRNA from 1 species
AUGGGUAGUACUGGUAGCCCCUCGGUAGCCGCUCUACCAUCAAGCGGCCUCCUACCCCCGAUACGCACGCCAAGAUCAGCACCGGCCGAAUGGACGACGGACGACGAUUCCGCGGCGGCGGCAGCGGAGGAGGAGCCCGUGACCCCUACUGCAAGACUCUUGGAAGCUAUGUACAUCGUGGUCAUGGUCGGCCUUGGCUCGCCCGUCAACCUACCCGUCUUCAGCGCCGGCAUCGCCGCCCAACUUGCCCGUUACCCGCGCUUCCGCAGCAUCCAAGUGACAGACGGGUGCAAGAGCCCGCGGUGGGCGCGCACGGAGGUGAACGUCGACGACCACAUGAUCGUCCCGACGCUGGACCCCGCCGCCGUGGAGGCUGACCCGGACCGGGCCGUGGAGGACUACGUGGCCUCGCUGCCCGCGCUCCCCAUGGACCGCUCACGCCCGCUCUGGGAGUUCCACUUCCUCGACUUCCCGACCUCAGAGGCCGCCUCCACCGUGGUGCUCCGCGUCCACCACUCCCUCGGUGAUGGGAUGUCGCUGAUCACGCUCCUCCUGGCGUCCGCGCGCAGCGCCGCCGACCCGACACGCUUGCCAGCCA